rnacentral:lncRNA from 1 species
AAAAAGGUAGGUCUUGGGGAGGAAUUUUUCGGGCAGCCAACAAAGGAGAAAAAGAGGAGGAGAAGAAGAAAACCUACAGAAAAAAAUGGCAGGAGUUGGGGGCUGAAUUUGCAAGAUAUAAACGCACAAAAAACACAAAUAAUUGAGGGGAGACAGCUGCUGAAUUUGGGGAAGCACAUACAAUUGUCGGCUGCUUGUAAAACAAGAGAGAAAAGAAGGGAAUAGAACUGCCGGCUGCUGGUGUAUAUCAUAUUCAUACAUAGGCUGCUGGAAUUAAUUGUAAAACACACAACAAUUGGGCUGAGAAAUUGGAGAAGAAUUGGAUCUUGUUUUGAAAGUUAAUAGGGCUGUUGUGAGCAUCAUGAAGACAUACAAGGCUGCUGAAAUACAUACAUAUAUACACGGCUGUUCAUCAAGUAUAUAUACACAUGGAAAUCGUGAUACAUUGGAG